UAGAAAAUCUUGAGUUUAAAUAAAAUGCUGCAAACAAGCAAGAGGAAAUAGCAGAAUCAAAGCAGAUAAAAUUUCUGCAAACCAAACUUCACAGAGAGGAACAAGUGAUUUGCAUUACGAUACGUUAACCUAAAGUCGUUCUCUUUUUAAGGGUAUCUGUGAAAUCACCUUCUGUUUAUAAGGAGAAAAGUAGUUUUGCCCACAAGUCUCCAGAGGCCUCCGUUUACUUAUUUUUACCUCACAAGGAGAUAUGCGUCAAUGAAAGGCAAAUGUUACUUCACACCCUGAGAAUGGCACGUUUUUUCCUUUUUUAGAUAAAACCCAUAUGCUUCCCUGCAAGGAGAGGAACUUGCAAAUUGGGCAUUAGCAAGACUUACACAAUACUGGCUAAACCACUCUUCCCUUGAGUUUGCAGCUCUAUUCUAGGUAGUUUUACCUCUACAAACGUUAGCUAAAACAUUUUCAAUUAUAGCAAACUGGUUCAGCUUGUGAUCCUGUGCCACUGUGGCAAGGGGCACCAAGUCAUACCCCCAAAAGGAAAUGGUGCUGAAAGAUAAAGCCGUAUUUAGGAAAAACUGAUUUCUCUAUAAAACAUAACAGAAAAACAUGCAAGUGGUAAAGGCGGACAGGAGGAAUUAGUCUACAGAACAUUCUCCCUCAGAGCUCGCUGAUCUGCCAAGCCGAAGUGCACUUAAGACGCAGGAAAGCUCUGCCACAGCUGCCCUGAACUCCAGACAAGUGAAGUAAGGGAAGUACUAGGACAAAAAGCUCUUCCUGAUGAUAGAGCCUUAUGAGUAACUCCAGGUAUGCAAAGAAGAAACCAUAACUUUCCCCUCUGAAUCAUCCCAAAAAUACACAUUAGAAUGAAGGGCACACAGGCACUGGAGAAGUGUGCAAAUACAGAUCCAACUUGGGACUGAUGCGAAAGACAAAAGUUAACCAGUUGGAAACCAGAAUCUCUAAGCAAAUUCUUUUACUGUUAUGGAGCAGCAAGUAUAUAUUAAGAACUAUUAAAACAGAUGGACAACCACAUGGAUGACUUUAUGACUGUUCCACAUGAUUUCCCUUGUUAAGCUGUGUAUCUUCUAACUUCCAGUAUAAAAAGUUAAAAACAAUAUCAGCUCUCUGAUGUUAAAUGAGAAUUUCAACAUGCUCUUAUGAAGUGAGCUUUUAAAGUCUCUCUCUUUAAAGCCUUGCAGUGUCACAGAGAAGGUUAGCAGAGUCAGCUUCCAAGGAACCCACAGAGCUUUUCCAUGUCACUUAGGAUACUCUGCAUUUUAUUUAAUCAAUGCAAAGCCCACAGGAAACCUCUUUAGCAUUUAAACUUCCCAAAUCUCUAAAGUGAAAUUAAUGUGCCUCCACAAAAGAGCUUAAGUAAAAUAACUGCUAGUGUGUUGUUUCAGCAACCUCCAACUAAAAACUCAGACGACAAAUUGAGGCAAAAGCCUCUUCACUCUCUAAAACAGUAGGAAGACCUAAUAAACUCUUAUAAAUCUCCUAAAGAAAUAAUAAAAGAAAUAAAAAAAGAGAGAGAGGAAAAGGGGGAGCAUUUCAUCCUACCUUGCCCCAAAUUGACUGUACAAGUCUUUCCUCACUUCAGUUCACUGCAGCAUAUAAACAUAGCUACAUUUGCAGCAUUAUUCUCAAGGGUCUGUCUUAGACCUGUACAAAGAAAAGGACUAGAUUGCUCUUUCUGGAGCCAAAGGCUUUUUUCUAGGUACUUACAAGCAGUAAGAGGUAAAGGAUUAAGUGUUUGAAUACCCAUGCUAUCUCUUUUCACUUCUUCUUGGUCAUGAAGAGAAUGCAAAGGCCAAAGACCUCUCAUGGAAAUGUUCUCCUCUGAGAUGAGCUGGGAAAUGAGAGGCUGGAAAGCAGUGCUGCAGAAACAGACCUGCGAGUCCUGGUCUAUGGCAAGUCAAACAGGAGGCAGCAUUGCCCAGCUGGGUAUCAGGCACAGCAUUGCCAGCCGGGCCAAGGGAGGGGAUUGUCCUGCUCUGCACUGGGGCUGCCUCACCUCGAGUGCUGAGGGCAGUUCAGUCACUGUAAUAUUAAAAACAUCCCAUGCAUAGCUCUUCCUGCAGCCGUAACAAAAGAGAUAUUGCAGCCAAGGGGAGGACUGAAAAGACUUAUGAGGGAGUGGGUGAGAGGAGCAAAGGAAUUCACAAGCAGUAACAUAAAUCAGUUGAGUUUGCUUGCUCUUUAGAUCCCAGGAUCUCCCACUACUGCCUUAGGGAAUACAAGGACAAAACAACUUUCCCUGCCAGGUCAUCUGGACAACUGCAGGCACAACACAGGGGAACACACCUAUGAAGAGAAGCUGACACACAGCACAGGGAACAGAACUGACUGGCAAAGGCCAGGCAGGAGAGGGAGAUACUUAUUAACCAGAGGAGAAGCAAAGUGAGCCAGUGAAGCAAACAGUCAGUGAUUUCCCUAGUUUCUCACAGCAGUUACCUCACACGGCAGGGCUUAAAGUAACAAAAGUUUACCAGCAAAAGCUGCAUCUUUUCCUUUCCAGUGCAGGCAAAACCACAAAAAUUUGCUGAGCUUUGCAGAUGAAGCUUGCAGCUGUAGGUUACUGUAGAGGGAAACUACAAAAAAACUAAGAAAUUUUAGUUCCUGAAAACAGUUUCCUUUCUGCAACAGCCCCAUGUUAUUCCAUACAUAAAAGGGGCAGGACAUCUCAAAAAUAAGUAAACCUAUCUAACCAAGCCUCAGCUGAGCACCCCUUUUCUGCUAUACAGGUUACAGCACCUGUACAAAAUGACAGAAUCUUACAGUACAGAAUAUCACAAGAGCUGACCUCUACUUCCCCAUGAGUGCGAACAUGGAACCUUCCAGAAAGCAGCAACAGGCAUGCUUUGAUGAGAACAGAGCCCAUCCAAUUGUGUGUUCAUUGGGCACUGGGGCACAGAACAUCCAUACAGCACACAACAGCAAUAUUUGAAAAGAGUUAAGGGCAGAAGGCUAGGUAGAGGAAAUGUAAAAAGCAAAAUGCUGCCUACCUACCACUGUUUUUUUGACCCUGGCAGCCCUAAAUCUAGACUUUAAGCACAGGACUCUUCUUCCUUGGCCCUCAGCAAGCUCCAUAGUACACUCUAUUGAAGAAAAGAACCACUCAUCACAAAGGCGGGAAUAGAGAGCUACAUCCAACAGAUCAAACCUUCAGUUUUACAAACUUCCCUUUACAAAAAAACCCCAAAA